rnacentral:rRNA from 1 species
GCGUGAGUGAAGAAGGCCUUAGGGUUGUAAAGCUCUUUCGCCCGCGACGAUGAUGACGGUAGCGGGAGAAGAAGCCCCGGCUAACUCCGUGCCAGCAGCCGCGGUAAUACGGAGGGGGCGAGCGUUGUCCGGAUUUACUGGGCGUAAAGGGCGCGUAGGCGGCCUGGCAAGUUGGGGGUGAAAUGCCCGGGCUCAACCCGGGAACUGCCUUCGAAACUGCUUGGCUCGAGACCGGGAGAGGAUGGUGGAAUUCCCAGUGUAGAGGUGAAAUUCGU